GACGAUGUUCUACGUUUCUAAUCACGUGACCAAUUAGUGGCAUUUGAUUGGUUUACUUUUAAUGAAACGCAAAACAACAUACAACUGUUAGCAAUUUUUGUAUUCUUUUUCUUUUAAAUGUCUGCAAACGUGACGACGGUUGGGGUUUUUGGUUGUGUAAUUUGAAUGUAUUGGAUUACGGCGAAAUGUGUAAAAAGAGUGUGACUAGUGUCCACUUUUCGAUUAUAAUUUUAUAAGAAGUUGACACUGGCUCGAUGGACUGCCGACUGCGACAAUCAAAGACACGGUUGAUCAGCUGUACAAAGGCGUAAAACCUCUUGUAUCUUGAUCAUUUUGGUGAGAAGAUGAAGAAGAGCGUGACAUCCUGGUAGGAAAGUCGAAAAGUCCGACAAAGAUGAGAUAAAUUUACAUACAGGAUGCAACGGUGGACAGAGUAAAAGUGGCUUUGUGGAGAAACACCAACAAAGACGUCAGAACUGGGGAUUACGUCAAAAUCACUGAUUUGACAAUACACACUUACCAAACAAAGUACACAACUGAAACCAGCUUCAAUUCUACCUACACAACUUCAGUUACUAAAGUCGAACAACCAACUGUACAUGUGACGGUUACAGUAAUAGGUGCCUGUGUACAAGAUGACGUUUCAGAACUUCUCCUCAGUGAUGACUCUGUGAGGGCAAUACCUUCACAAUUAUUAAUGGCUGCCCUUCCACAAGAACUUGAUGAAGACUUGGAUCCAGAAUCUUUCUUUGCAGAGAGAAAAACAAACUUAAGGCUGCAAUUAAAAGGAUCAGAAGUACUUUCAGUGAAACUUCAGUAAACUGUUAUACAUUUACAUGA